rnacentral:rRNA from 1 species
UACAGAGGUCUCAAGCGUUGUUCGGAUUCAUUGGGCGUAAAGGGUGCGUAGGCGGCGCGGUAAGUCGGGUGUGAAAUCUCGGAGCUUAACUCCGAAACUGCAUUCGAUACUGCUGUGCUUGAGGACUGGAGAGGAGACUGGAAUUCAUGGUGUAGCAGUGAAAUGCGUAGAGAUCAUGAGGAAGACCAGUGGCGAAGGCGGGUCUCUGGACAGUUCCUGACACUGAGGCACGAAGGCCAGGGGAGCAAACGGG